rnacentral:rRNA from 1 species
GACGAACGCUGGCGGCGUGCUUAACACAUGCAAGUCGAACGGAAAGGCCCUGCUUUUGUGGGGUGCUCGAGUGGCGAACGGGUGAGUAACACGUGAGUAACCUGCCCUUGACUUUGGGAUAACUUCAGGAAACUGGGGCUAAUACCGGAUAGGAGCUCCUGCUGCAUGGUGGGGGUUGGAAAGUUUCGGCGGUUGGGGAUGGACUCGCGGCUUAUCAGCUUGUUGGUGGGGUAGUGGCUUACCAAGGCUUUGACGGGUAGCCGGCCUGAGAGGGUGACCGGGCACAUUGGGACUGAGAGACGGCCCAGACUCCUACGGGAGGCAGCAGGGGGGAAUAUUGCACAAUGGGCGGAAGCCUGAUGCAGCAACGCCGCGUGCGGGAUGACGGCCUUCGGGUUGUAAACCGCUUUCGCCUGUGACGAAGCGUGAGUGACGGUAAUGGGUAAAGAAGCACCGGCUAACUACGUG